GCCUCCUGGGAGCCUGGACAUGGCCCACGGGGACAUUGCUAGCUGUGGGCAGAGGGCUGUCCUGCGGCAAGGCAGCUGGUGCAUGCACAAGUCCACUAGCGCAUCGUGUCUGUGGAUACCCAGAGAUUUUCUUGAAUGAAUGAUGGGGCGAUAUGGAACAUCAUUCAUGUAUCACUUCAGUAUAUAUUUAGUAGCCCCCUGCUGUGGGCCAGGCACCAUGCCACAAUGCGCAUAUGGGGUGAGCAAGAAGAGGUGCCCCCUGCCCUGAUCCUGCAGUCAAGCCAGCUGCCAUGUUUUGAGCCAACCUAUGGAGAAGCCCAUGUGACAAGGAACUCAGAGAAUGUUCCAACAAACAGCCCUUGA
rnacentral:lncRNA from 1 species